UGAAUAAGAUAGACUCAGGUAGACUAAUUC
rnacentral:piRNA from 1 species